rnacentral:lncRNA from 1 species
UCCAGAUCCAUGAUGGAAAAUGGCUGCAGUGAGCGUAUACUAAAUGAGAUUUUAGGAACUUUAAAUGACAUUACUGAAUUUUGCAUCAUACAAUAUUUUACUCAUCAUUUUGCAUUUGGAUCCUGUAGACUAAAUUGUGAGAAGCUGAAAGGAAGUACAUCAAAGAUUAUUUUUAAGACCCUCAAAGCAGUAAUAGGAGUUCAAUAAACUUCAGGCUAGCAAAAUGCAGUUUCACUUGACAGUUGUAUUAUGAGGAUGGAUGAUACCAUUAGUUGUGUUUUUCCUUUCACACCUGCUUUCACUUUCAUGCCAGAAGCUGACCCACAGUGCAGCAUGAAACAACAAUCAUUCUUACUUCAAGAUGAGAUCCAGAACUUCAGAAUGAGAUCCAGCUUGAGGCUUCUCAACAAAAGCUAUGAAGACAUAGCAAGAUGUUUGUCUUCUAGAUUCUCCAGUGCUAGCUACCCCUACCCAUCACUGAGUCAAUCCUGUGUUCAUUGUAUUUCCAUGCAAAGGAAAGAAGAAAAAUGUCUGCUGAAAGCUGUGUCAUAUGUUGGAAGUUUUUAGAAAGGUUAAAGGUAAGAAAAAUAUUUGUUUCACAACUGAAAUUAUUUUUUAUUUCAAUUAAUUUAGCUCAUUCUCAGUCUAAAUUUGUAGAAUUCAGUGCAGUUAAAGUAGGGGCAACUUUGGACCUGUAUGUUUGGAAACAAUUGUAAUUUUGUGCUAAAAUAUAAUGACAACAUGCUAUAAUUUCUGUGUGGUACUUUGUAAGGUUUGAUGCUUAUUUUUGCUGGCCAGUUUCUAUUUGAUAUCCUGCUG